rnacentral:rRNA from 1 species
AACGAACGCUGGCGGCAGGCCUAACACAUGCAAGUCGAACGGACAUCUUCGGCUGUUAGCGGCGGACGGGGGAGUAACGCGAGGAAACGUGCCCUUUGCUUCGGACUAGCCUCGAGAAACUGGGGGUAAUACCGGAUUUACCCUACGGGGGAAAGAUUUAUCGGCAAAGGAUCGGGCCGCGUUGGAUUAGGUAGUUGGUGCGGUAAUGGACUACCAAGCCGACGAUCCAUAGCUGGUUUGAGAGGAUGAUCAGCCACACCGGGACUGAGACACGGCCCAGACGCCUACGGGAAGCCGCAGUGGGGAAUCUUAGACAAGGGGGGAAAACCUGAUCCAGCCAUGCCGCGUGAGCGAUGAAGGCCUUAGGAUUGUAAAGGUCUUUCAGCGGGGAAGAUAAUGACGGUACCCGGAGAAGAAGACCCGGCUAACUCCGUG